UGUCUCAAAGAUUAAGCCAUGCAUGUCUCAGUACAAGCUAAAUUAAAGUGAAACCGCGAAUGGCUCAUUACAACAGCCGUUGUUCCCUAGAGACUAUCAAUACUUGGAUAACUGUGGCAAUUCUAGAGCUAAUACACGCACUGAAACCCCGACCGUAAGGGAGGGGUGCAUUUAUUAGAACAAAACCAAUCGGGGCAACCCGUCAAUUGGUGAAUCUGAAUAACCCAGCUGAUCGCACGGUCUUUGCACUGGCGACGCAUCUUUCAAGUGUCUGCCUUAUCAACUUUCGACGGUAGUUUAUGUGACUACCAUGGUUACAACGGGUAACGGAGAAUAAGGGUUCGACUCCGGAGAAGCAGCCUGAGAAACGGCUACUACAUCCAAGGAAGGCAGCAGGCGCGCAAAUUACCCAAUCUCAGCACGAGGAGGUAGUGACGAAAAAUAACGAGGCGGUUCUCUAUGAGGCCCGCUAUCGGAAUGAGAACAAUUUAAAACCUUUAACGAGGAUCUAGCGGAGGGCAAGUCUGGUGCCAGCAGCCGCGGUAAUUCCAGCUCCGCUAGUGUAUACCACGAGUACUGCGGUUAAAAAGCUCGUAGUUGGAUCUGCGUGCUAGGAACCGGUCCGUCCACUGGGCGUGAACUGGUCUCCGGCAUUAUAUCAGCUGGUUUUCCCCUGAUGCUCUUAACCGGGUGUCUUGGGUGGCUAGCAAGUUUACUUUGAAAAAAUUAGAGUGCUCAAAACAGGCUCAAGCCUUGAAUACUAGUGCAUGGAAUAAUAGAAUAGGACUCCGGUUCUGUUUUGUUGGUUUUCGGAACACGAAGUAAUGAUUAAGAGGGACAGACGGGGGCAUUCAUAUUGCGACGUUAGAGGUGAAAUUCUUGGAUCGUCGAAAGAUGCACUACUGCGAAAGCAUUUGCCAAGAAUGUUUUCAUUAAUCAAGAACGAAAGUUAGAGGUUCGAAGGCGAUCAGAUACCGCCCUAGUUCUAACCGUAAACGAUGCCAACUAGCGAUCCGCUGGUGUUUAUCUAGACCCAGCAGGGAGCUUUCCGGAAACGAAAGUCUUCAGGUUCCGGGGGAAGUAUGGUUGCAAAGCUGAAACUUAAAGGAAUUGACGGAAGGGCACCACCAGGAGUGGAGCCUGCGGCUUAAUUUGACUCAACACGGGAAAACUCACCCGGCCCGGACACCGUAAGGAUUGACAGAUUGAGAGCUCUUUCUUGAUUCGGUGGGUGGUGGUGCAUGGCCGUUCUUAGUUGGUGGAGCGAUUUGUCUGGUUAAUUCCGAUAACGAACGAGACUCUAGCCUAUUAAAUAGUAAACGCAUCCCUAGUGGGUUCUUACUUCUUAGAGGGACAGGCGGCAUUGAGACGCACGAAAAAGAGCAAUAACAGGUCUGUGAUGCCC
rnacentral:rRNA from 1 species